UGUGUUUUGGCCACAUAUGCUAGCCUUGCAGCCAUCGCCCUUUUCUUCAAAUUGAAGCCUAAGAAAAAGCCUGCUGUCACAGAAAAGUGAUUAUGCUUCCAUUUGCCCAUCAUUUCCAACAGCUUGGAAUGGAAAGAGCAGCUGGACAUGCUUGUAAUGAAAUUUGAGUGUUUGGUUUUCCAUUGUUAACAAUAAAAACAUCUAUGCCCAAAACAUAGAAAA